rnacentral:snRNA from 1 species
GUGCUCGCUUCAGCAGCACAUAUACUAAAAUUGGAACAAUACAGAGAAGAUUAGCAUUGCCCCUGCGCAAGGAUGACAUGCAAAUUCGUGAAGCAUUCCAUAUUAAA